rnacentral:rRNA from 1 species
CUUUGUGAUUCAUGACUGGGGUGAAGUCGUAACAAGGUAGCCGUAGGGGAACCUGCGGCUGGAUCACCUCCUUA